UACGGAGAUGGCGAGCGUUAUCCGGAUUAUUGGGUUAAGGUGGCGUAGGCGGAAGGUAAGUCAGUGGUCAAAUGUCGGUGCUCAACACCGGCCUGCCGUUGGAAACUGGUCUUCUUGAGUGAGCGAGAAGUAUGCGGAAUGCGUGGUGGUAGCGGUGAAAUGCAUAGAUAUCACGCAGAACUCCGAUGCGAAGGCAGCAUACCGGCGCCCGACUGACGCUGAAGCACGGAAGCGUGGGUAGUCGAAC
rnacentral:rRNA from 1 species